rnacentral:rRNA from 1 species
CCUACGGGAGGCAGCAGUGGGGAAUAUUGGACAAUGGGCGAAAGCCUGAUCAAGCCAUGCCGCGUGUGUGAAGAAGGUCUUCGGAUUGUAAAGCACUUUAAGUUGGGAGGAAGGGCAGUUUCCUAAUACGAAAUUGUUUUGACGUUACCGACAGAAUAAGCACCGGCUAACUCUGUGCCAGCAGCCGCGGUAAU